CUACAGCAACUUCACCCACAGCUACCAUGACUUUGAUCCCUGUCUUCAUCUGGACACUGAUCCUCUGGACUCAAGAAUGCAGAGGUCAAGCUACAGUAACUCAGACUCCUGCAGUGAAAUCUGCUCUUCCAGGAGAAACAGUCACCAUCAACUGUAGAACCAGUCAGGCAGUGACUUCUGGUAACUACUUAUUCUGGUAUCAGCAGAAACCUGGAGAAGCUCCUAAAUUCCUGAUUAAACUUGCAAAUCAACUACAGUCAGGUUUUCCAGCUCGUUUCAGUGGCAGUGGAUCUGGAUCUGAUUUCACUCUGACUAUCAGUGGAGUCCAGACUGAAGAUGCAGGAGAUUAUUACUGUCAGAGUCACCAUUCCAUCUCUGGUUACUGGUUCACACAGUGUUAUAGAGUCGUACAAAAACCUCCCUCAGUCAGAUUGUAGAGAGACUGCACUGCUGCAGCUGGGAGAGACUGCAGGUGCUGAGUUGGAGGAUGUGAUACGACACAAGUUCACAACUCGCAGUCGAAAUCUCUCAAUAACCAUGAUGAUUAUGAAAAGUGAGUAUAUAGUAAGUGUGGCAGCGGGGGUGUGGUCAAGCGUCAGUCUGUGAAUGGAGGGCGGAGUCAGGGAAGGUAAGUGGCGGAAUCACUGCACCUGAUGGGAAUUAACCUGUGUUUGUGUGUCUUCCCCAGUGACCGGGCCCUAUAAGAGGAGAGGGAGAGCGUAGGAAGGGAGCUUCUCCCCAACCUGGAUGCUUGUGUGCGUGCGUAGUUUAAAGCUGAAAAGCUUAAUAAAGAGUCUUUUGAGAACUCAGUUCUGGCCUGCCGUGCUUCUGUGAUUCACCCACCUAGAACCCUUGCUACAGUCAGCUAUAUUUCCAUUAAAUUAGUUCAACAAAGAAAGAUGUAGGAUUAGACUUCGAGGCCUUUUUGAAUCUUUUCCUGCUAUAUUUUCACUCAGUCCUCCUUUGAGCCCAACACUGAAUUGGUUCACAAAAAGGAAAUAUGGCUAAUCAUUUCGAAAGCCAUUGUUCUGAAAAACUUAGAUGAAGCUGUUGACUGUUUGCCCAUUUCUGGUACAUCACAUAUUGACAUUACUGACCCUAAAGUGUAUACCAUGUCAGUUGCAUAAGUAUUCACACACACUGCACUUUUCCACAUUUUCUAGUGUUACAGCCUGGAAUUGAAAUGCACUUAAGUAGGACUAAAGGUCAUGAAGCUACACAAAACCUCCCACAUUAUUGAAGUUUGGGUAAAAUCAGUAAAGGUUCUUAUUAGUUAAUUAACUCUAAAUUAUUUCUAAUGAAACAAGUUCCCAUCAGAAGUCAUAUAAUUAGUUGAACGGUGUCCACCAGUGUCACAUGAUCGCAGUGUAAAUCUACCUUUUCCCGAAAGGCACUGAAAUAUGUUGGAGAACAUCCUGAAACAAACAGCAUCAUGGAAAACAAGUUCUGAUGGAAGUCAUAUGAAACCCCGUUUGAGUUUAUCUUCAGGCUUGUGACAGACUCAGCAAACAUGGAAGAAUCGGUCUGAUGAGAACAAAACACAACUUGGAACAAUGAACUGAACUAUAUUUGGUCGAAACUGAUGUCCUGAAUGAAGCAUGGUGGUGGGAGCAUCAUGCUGAGAGAUUUACCUUUGGCCCCUUUGUGGCAUCCUGAGUAAUGCCUUUCUUUACCUGGACACUGAUUUUUGGUGAACAGCCUCCUCUAGGCAGAGUCUCAUUUGUGCCAUAUUUGAUCCAGUUUAAAAUAAUAGAUUUAAUUGUGCUCUGUGGUAGAUUCAAACUUUGGGAAAUGUUUUUACCAAACCAAACCAAGACUGAUACUUUUCCAGUGAGACCAUGGAGAUCUUUAAUUGCAAUGAUGUGCUAUUUUGUGUAGAUUCAUGACAUUUAAUCACACUACUUACUUCUUCCACACUUCCGCACAUUUAUGGAUGGACACAAUGUCACUUUGAUCAGAUACAUCCACAGUAAGUUCAGGAAGAUGGAGCACAAUACACAGAUUUCCCAUCCAGGUGAAUUUUUUUUUAAUUAAUUUAUUUUUUUUAUCCCUAAAAUUUACUUUGCUCAUUUAUUGCUUUUAUCCAAAGAAAUAUAAAUUAAAAUGCUAAAAGCAUAUAUUGUGUUCCAGGAGGUUUGUAUGAACAGGGCCUUUCGAAUAGGAGCCUGAUCUUGCUGUGUGUGUGUGUGUGUGUGUGUGUGUGUGUGUGUGUGUAUACAAUAGGACAAGAUUUUAGAUCUUAUGUCUCUAUUACUGCCUCUUCAUGUGAUUCUCUCUCUCUCUCUCUCUCUCUCUCUCUCUCUCAUUUUUGAU